GUGUCAGCAGCCGCGGUAAGACGAACCACACGAACGUUAUUCGGAAUUACUGGGCUUAAAGGGUGCGUAGGCGGCGCGGUAAGUAGGGUGUGAAAUCCCUCGGCUCAACCGAGGAACUGCGCUCUAAACUACCGUGCUUGAGGGAGGUAGAGGUGAGCGGAACUUAGGGUGGAGCGGUGAAAUGCGUUGAUAUCCUAAGGAACACCGGUGGCGAAAGCGGCUCACUGGAUCUCUUCUGACGCUGAGGCACGAAAGCUAGGGUAGCGAACGGGAUUAGAUACCCCAGUAGUCC
rnacentral:rRNA from 1 species